rnacentral:rRNA from 1 species
GACGAACGCUGGCGGCGUGCCUAAUACAUGCAAGUAGAACGCUGAAGAGAGGAGCUUGCUCUUCUUGGAUGAGUUGCGAACGGGUGAGUAACGCGUAGGUAACCUGCCUUGUAGCGGGGGAUAACUAUUGGAAACGAUAGCUAAUACCGCAUAACAAUGGAUGACACAUGUCAUUUAUUUGAAAGGGGCAAUUGCUCCACUACAAGAUGGACCUGCGUUGUAUUAGCUAGUAGGUGAGGUAACGGCUCACCUAGGCGACGAUACAUAGCCGACCUGAGAGGGUGAUCGGCCACACUGGGACUGAGACACGGCCCAGACUCCUACGGGAGGCAGCAGUAGGGAAUCUUCGGCAAUGGGGGCAACCCUGACCGAGCAACGCCGCGUGAGUGAAGAAGGUUUUCGGAUCGUAAAGCUCUGUUGUAAGUCAAGAACGAGUGUGAGAGUGGAAAGUUCACACUGUGACGGUAGCUUACCAGAAAGGGACGGCUAACUACGUGCCAGCAGCCGCGGUAAUACGUAGGUCCCGAGCGUUGUCCGGAUUUAUUGGGCGUAAAGCGAGCGCAGGCGGUUUGGUAAGUCUGAAGUUAAAGGCUGUGGCUCAACCAUAGUUCGCUUUGGAAACUGUCAAACUUGAGUGCAGAAGGGGAGAGUGGAAUUCCAUGUGUAGCGGUGAGAUGCGUAGAUAUAUGGAGGAACACCGGUGGCGAAAGCGGCUCUCUGGUCUGUAACUGACGCUGAGGCUCGAAAGCGUGGGGAGCGAACAGGAUUAGAUACCCUGGUAGUCCACGCCGUAAACGAUGAGUGCUAGGUGUUGGAUCCUUUCCGGGAUUCAGUGCCGCAGCUAACGCAUUAAGCACUCCGCCUGGGGAGUACGACCGCAAGGUUGAAACUCAAAGGAAUUGACGGGGGCCCGCACAAGCGGUGGAGCAUGUGGUUUAAUUCGAAGCAACGCGAAGAACCUUACCAGGUCUUGACAUCCCGAUGCUAUUUCUAGAGAUAGAAAGUUACUUCGGUACAUCGGUGACAGGUGGUGCAUGGUUGUCGUCAGCUCGUGUCGUGAGAUGUUGGGUUAAGUCCCGCAACGAGCGCAACCCCUAUUGUUAGUUGCCAUCAUUCAGUUGGGCACUCUAGCGAGACUGCCGGUAAUAAACCGGAGGAAGGUGGGGAUGACGUCAAAUCAUCAUGCCCCUUAUGACCUGGGCUACACACGUGCUACAAUGGUUGGUACAACGAGUUGCGAGUCGGUGACGGCAAGCUAAUCUCUUAAAGCCAAUCUCAGUUCGGAUUGUAGGCUGCAACUCGCCUACAUGAAGUCGGAAUCGCUAGUAAUCGCGGAUCAGCACGCCGCGGUGAAUACGUUCCCGGGCCU